rnacentral:rRNA from 1 species
GACGAACGCUGGCGGCGCGCUUAACACAUGCAAGUCGAGCGAAGCGGCGGACGGGUGAGUAACACGUGAGUAAUCUGCCUUAGACAUUGGGAUAGCCUCGGGAAACCGGGAUCAAUACCCAAUGGUCUAAGAUGGACUCGCGUCCCAUUAGCUAGUUCGUGAGGUAACGGCCCACCAAGGCGACGUUGGGUAGCCGGCCUGAGAGGAUGAACGGCCACAUUGGAACUGAGCAACUGUCCAAACUCUACGGUAGGCAGCAGUGGGGAAUAUUGCACAAUGGAGGGAACUCUGAUGCGGCGACGCCGCGUGAACGAGGUAGGCUUUCGAGUCGUAAAGUUCUUUUAUAUGGGAAGCGGUACCAUAAGAAAAAGCCCCGGCUAACGACGUGCCAGCAGCCGCGGUAAUAC